GACUCUCGGCAACGGAUAUCUCGGCUCUCGCAUCGAUGAAGAACGUAGCAAAAUGCGAUACCUGGUGUGAAUUGCAGAAUCCCGCGAACCAUCGAGUUUUUGAACGCAAGUUGCGCCCGAUGCCUUCCGGCCGAGGGCACGUCUGCCUGGGCGUCA
rnacentral:rRNA from 1 species